rnacentral:rRNA from 1 species
GACGAACGCUGGCGGCGUGCAUAACACAUGCAAGUCGAACGAAGUGGCGAACGGGUGAGUAAUACGUGGGUAACCUGCCCUCCUUUUUGGGAUAAGCCUUGGAAACGGGGUCUAAUACCGAAUAACGGGGGACGGGCUCGCGGCCUUUCAGCCUGUUGGUGGGAUGAUGGCCUACCAAGGCGGAGACGGGUAGCCGGCCUGAUAGGGUGACCGGGAACAUUGGGACUGACAUACGGCCCAGACUCCUACGAGAGGCGGCAGUGGGGGAUAUUGCAGAAGGGGGGAACGCCGAACGCAGCGUCGCCGAGUGGGGGUUGAGGGCUUUCGGGUUGUGAACCUCUUUCGCUAUCGAGCGGGUAGGUAGCGAGAAAGCGCCGGCUAACUACGUGCCAGCAGCCGCGGUAAUUC